GUCCUCUUGAAUAUAUUAUGAGGUCCGGCCUGCUCACUGGCAAGAUUUUGAAGAGCCGCGGUAUUUUGACCGUGCAAAGGUAGCAUAAUCAUUAGUCUCUUAAUUAGAGGCUGGAAUGAAUGGCUUGACGAGAAAUUAACUGUCUCUUAAUAAUAUAUAAAAUUUAACUUUUAAGUUAAAAGGCUUAAAUUUUUCUUUAAGACGAGAAGACCCUAUAGAGCUUUACAUUUUACUUAUAUAUAAUUUUUAGAUUAUCUUUUUAUAUUUAAUAAUAAUGUUUUGUUGGGGUGACAUAAAGAAUAAAUAAACUCUUUAUUAUUAAAUCAUUAAUUUAUGUUUAUUUUGAUCCAUAAUUUAUGAUCAUAAAAUUAAGUUACCUUAGGGAUAACAGCGUAAUUGUUUUUGAGAGCUCAUAUCGACAAAGCAGAUUGCGACCUCGAUGUUGGAUUAAGAUAAAUUCUAGGUGCAGGAGCCUGGUAAUUAGGUCUGUUCGACCUUUAAAUUCUU
rnacentral:rRNA from 1 species